CUCAAUGUGACGUCAAUCUUCUUCGGAAGGAACAUUAAGAAGUUCUGUGUCCAAUGAGCCUAGUCAUGAUUGUUCUGUUGGAAAAUCUGAUCUACAACUCGUUGAGAAACUUGAGCCUUGUUCAGAGGGCAUUUUUGAAUCAUCCAAAAUUAAAGCUGUUGUAUCGGACUAUGGUGGUUGCUUUCCUUGCAGAAGGUGCUCACAACCAGGACCUUGUUCAGGUGCAUAACUCAUAGCCGUAAUCCAGACCCUGGACCUUGUAAGUGUUGCAGAUUUGAGUGACAAAACAGGACGCUAGCAAAGACUGUUAUGUGGUAGAAAUUCCAAGAGGGAGCAGGUCGAAUUAAAGUUUGAUCAUAUAAAUGGGAAUGGGUGCAGCUAUGGACCUCCCUACGAGUGUCAACUGGCAAGUCUGCUUGCUUAGGGCUGGAACAAUGGACCUGAUUUGAGCAAGGUUGUCAUAAAAUGAAGGCAUAAAUGGUGAAGUCCUAACUUCAACUUAGUGUUGAAACUUUAUGAUUUGUUAAGCAUGUAAUAGGAUAUUGGUCAAGGUUUUCCAACUUAGUCUCCAACAUUUUCAGACUUGGAACUUGCAGUAUUUUAGAAAGUUGAAAUUGUAAACUGAAU